AACGAACGCUGGCGGCAGGCCUAACACAUGCAAGUCGAACGCUGUAGCAAUACAGAGUGGCAGACGGGUGAGUAACGCGUGGGAACCUUCCCAAUGGCGCGGAAUAGCCCAGGGAAACUUGGGGUAAUACCGCAUAAGCCCUUAGGGGGAAAGAUUUAUCGCCAUUGGAUGGGCCCGCGUCGGAUUAGCUAGUUGGUGAGGUAAUGGCUCACCAAGGCAACGAUCCGUAGCUGGUUUGAGAGAAUGACCAGCCACACUGGGACUGAGACACGGCCCAGACUCCUACGGGAGGCAGCAGUGGGGAAUCUUGGACAAUGGGCGCAAGCCUGAUCCAGCCAUGCCGCGUGAGUGACGAAGGCCUUAGGGUUGUAAAGCUCUUUUGCCGGGGACGAUAAUGACGGUACCCGGAGAAUAAGUCCCGGCUAACUUCGUGCCAGCAGCCGCCGUAA
rnacentral:rRNA from 1 species